rnacentral:misc_RNA from 1 species
UCCGGUUUGGCACCGGCAGUCUCCCUAGAGUUCCCGGCAUUACCCGCUGGCAACUAAGGACAGGGGUUGCGCUCGUUGCGCCACUUAAGGCAACACCUCACGGCACGCGCUGACGACAGCCAUGCACCACCUGCGCAGAAGUCCCUUGCGGGAGGUGCUCACUUUCGUGAGCAUUUCCUCUGCAUGUCAAACCCAGGUAAGGUUCUUCGCGUUGCCUCGAAUUAAACCACAUGCUCCGCUGCUUGUGCGGGUCCCCGUCAAUUCCUUUGAGUUUUAGCCUUGCGGCCGUACUCCCCAGGCGGGGCACUUAAUGCGUUAACUUCGGCACGGAGGGAGUCGACACCCCCCACACCUAGUGCCCAUCGUUUACGGCGUGGACUAC